CUGCAGUGAUGAGUUAGAUGUGACUGAUCUGGUAUUGCUUUUCCUCCGGGGACGCUCUGACCAGGGAAUGAUAACUUAAUCUUCUCUCUGAGCAG
ensembl:snoRNA